rnacentral:rRNA from 1 species
CAGCCGCCCGGUAAUACGAAGGGUGCAAGCGUUACUCGGAAUUACUGGGCGUAAAGCGUGCGUAGGUGGUGGUUUAAGUCCGUUGUGAAAGCCCUGGGCUCAACCUGGGAAUUGCAGUGGAUACUGGGUCACUAGAGUGUGGUAGAGGAUAGUGGAAUUUCCGGUGUAGCAGUGAAAUGCGUAGAGAUCGGAAGGAACAUCUGUGGCGAAGGCGACUAUCUGGGCCAACACUGACACUGAGGCACGAAAGCGUGGGGAGCAAACAGGAUUAGAUACCCCAGUAGUCCCUGUCUCUUAUACA